UACGAAGGGGGCUAGCGUUGCUCGGAAUUACUGGGCGUAAAGGGCGCGUAGGCGGAUAUUUAAGUUGGGGGUGAAAUCCCGGGGCUCAACCUCGGAAUUGCCUUCAAAACUGGAUAUCUUGAGUUCGGGAGAGGCGAGUGGAACUCCUGGUGUAGCGGUGGAAUGCGCAGAUAUCAGGAAGAACACCAACGGCGAAGGCAGCUCGCUGGGACGGUACUGACGCUGAGACGCGAAAGCGUGGGGAGCGAACAGG
rnacentral:rRNA from 1 species